rnacentral:rRNA from 1 species
UACGUAGGUGGCAAGCGUUGUCCGGAAUUAUUGGGCGUAAAGCGCGCGCAGGCGGUCCUUUAAGUCUGAUGUGAAAGCCCACGGCUCAACCGUGGAGGGUCAUUGGAAACUGGGGGACUUGAGUACAGAAGAGGAAAGCGGAAUUCCAUGUGUAGCGGUGAAAUGCGUAGAGAUGUGGAGGAACAACAGUGGCGAAGGCGGCUUUCUGGUCUGUAACUGACGCUGAGGCGCGAAAGCGUGGGGAGCAAACAGG